GGGUGUUCUUAGUAGCUCAGUUGGUUAGAGCGUUGCCUUGACAUGGCAGAGGUCACAAGUUCGAAUCUUGUUACACCCACCA
rnacentral:tRNA from 1 species